CGUGAGAUUAGACGAGAUGUUCCGACUACCAAAGCAGGCAAGCGCUCCAGCAGCCGCACCUACAGACCUCAUACUGCGCUUCCAAUCCCUGUCGGACAAAGCUGCUGUCCUAGCUGCACUACGAAACAAGACACCUUUGCCGUUUGAGGGCACAACUCUAACAAUCUUCCCAGAUAUUACCAAGAGUACCCUUACCUGGAGGAAAUCAAUGCAACCUCUCCUGCAACACCUCCAAGCCAAAGAGAUGCCCUACCGAUG